GCUUACGGCCACACCACUGUGACAACGCCCGAUCCCGUCUGAUCUUGGAAGCUAAGUGCGGUCGGGCCCCGUUAGUACUUGGAUGGGAGACUGCCUGGGAAUACCUGGUCCUCUAAGCU
rnacentral:rRNA from 1 species